rnacentral:rRNA from 1 species
CCAAUAGCGUAUAUUAAAGUUGAUGCAGUUAAAAAGCUCGUAGUUGAAUUUCGGGGUUCAUACGUUGGUCGGGCUUUUUGGUCUGUACUUAUGUAAUGGAUUCCUACCUUCUGAAUAACCGGCAUGCUAUUAAUUUGGUGCGCCGAGGAAGCAGGACUGUUACCUUGAAAAAAUUAGAGUGCUUAAAGCAGGCUAUCGCCUGAAUACAUUAGCAUGGAAUAAUGAAAUAGGACGGCAUGGUUCUAUUUUGUUGGUUUCUAGGAUCACCGUAAUGAUUAAUAGGGAUAGUUGGGGGCAUUAGUAUUCAAUUGUCAGAGGUGAAAUUCUUGGAUUUAUUGAAGACUAACUUCUGCGAAAGCAUUUGCCAAGGAUGUUUUCAUUAAUCAGGAACGAAAGUUAGGGGAUCGAAGACGAUCAGAUACCGUCGUAGUCUUAACCAUAAACUAUGCCGACUAGGGAUCGGACGAUGUUAAUUUUUUAAUGACUCGUUCGGCGCCUUACA